rnacentral:rRNA from 1 species
UACGUAGGGACCGAGCGUUGUCCGGAAUCAUUGGGCGUAAAGAGCGUGUAGGCGGCUUGCUAAGUCUUGCGUGAAAUCUCGGGGCUCAACCCCGAGCGGUCGUGGGAAACUGGCAGGCUAGAGUGCGGGAGAAGAGAAUGGAAUUCCUGGUGUAGCGGUGAAAUGCGCAGAUAGUCAGGAAGAACACCCGGUGGCGAAGGCGGUUCUCUGGAACGCAACUGACGCUGAGACGCGGAAAGCGUGGGGAGCAAACAGG